UACGGGAGGCAGCAGUGGGGAAUAUUGGACAAUGGGCGCAAGCCUGAUCCAGCCAUGCCGCGUGAGUGAUGAAGGCCCUAGGGUUGUAAAGCUCUUUCACCGGUGAAGAUAAUGACGGUAACCGNAGAAGAAGCCCCGGCUAACUUCGUGCCAGCAGCCGCGGUAAUACGAAGGGGGCUAGCGUUGUUCGGAUUUACUGGGCGUAAAGCGCACGUAGGCGGAUUUUUAAGUCAGGGGUGAAAUCCCGGGGCUCAACCCCGGAACUGCCUUUGAUACUGGAAGUCUUGAGUAUGGUAGAGGUGAGUGGAAUUCCGAGUGUAGAGGUGAAAUUCGUAGAUAUUCGGAGGAACACCAGUGGCGAAGGCGGCUCACUGGACCAUUACUGACGCUGAGGUGCGAAAGCGUGGGGAGGCNGACANGAUUANNUANCNUNGUAGANCACGCCGUAAACGNUGA
rnacentral:rRNA from 1 species